GACGAACGCUGGCGGCGUGCUUAACACAUGCAAGUCGAACGGAAAGGCCCUGCUUUUGUGGGGUGCUCGAGUGGCGAACGGGUGAGUAACACGUGAGUAACCUGCCCUUGACUUUGGGAUAACUUCAGGAAACUGGGGCUAAUACCGGAUAGGAGCUCCUGCUGCAUGGUGGGGGUUGGAAAGUUUCGGCGGUUGGGGAUGGACGUCCGGUUUACUAGCUUGUUGGUGGGGUAGUGGCCUACCAAGGCUUUGGCGGGUAGCCGGCCUGAGAGGGUGACCGGCCACAUGGGGACUGAGGUACGGCCCAGACUCCUACGGGAGGCAGCGGGGGGAAAUAUUGCACAAUGGGCGGAAGCCUGAUGCAGCAACGCCGCGUGCGGGAUGACGGCCAUCGGGUUGUAAACCGCUUUCACCUGUGACGAAGCGUGAGUGACGGUAAUGGGUAAAGAAGCACCGGCUAACUACGUG
rnacentral:rRNA from 1 species